GACGAACGCUGGCGGCGUGCUUAACACAUGCAAGUCGAGCGAUGAAACGUUAACAGAGCGCUUCGGGGGGAAGAAAAGGUGGAGUAGCGGCGGACGGGUGGGGAACACGUGAGGAAACUGGCUUCGAAAACGGGGUAGGCUCGGGAAACCGGGAUUAAUACCAACUAAAAUGGGAAUGACACAUGUCAUAACGGUCGAAACGCCGGUGGUCUAAGAAGGAGUCGCGUCAUAUUCGCUCGUUGGUAGAGUAAAAUCACACCGAGGCGAAGAAGGGUAGCCGGCCUGAGAGGGUGAACCGACACUGUGGAAGUGAGACGCGGUCCAAACCCCUACGGGACGGCGGAGUGGGGAAUAUUGCAAAAUGGGGGGACCUCUGAUGCAGCGACGGCGCGUGAACAAAGAAGGCUUUCGAGGUGUAAAGUUCUUUUAUAUGGGAAGAUAAUGACGGUACCAGAAGAAAAAGCCCCGGCUAACUACGUG
rnacentral:rRNA from 1 species